AGAAAUAGAACGCGAGAAGCGCAAAGGAAAAAACCUGGAAGCAUGACGAUAGCCAGGAGCUUUCCGAACCUGACCGCAAGUUCUAAGCAGUCGAUACGAAAAGCCCCGCAAGUGCGGGGCUUU
rnacentral:misc_RNA from 1 species